CAACCCCUGAAGCAAACACCAUCUCGACAACUUUUGUACCACCAUCAUUUGAGUCCAAUAAUUUCGAUCAGUCUUUUGGAGAUCCUUUUGGAGAUUCACCAUUCAAGGCCGAUACUUCUGCUGAAACUAUUCCAUCUCAACAAUGUAACUAACCGAAAAAUCAGAGUUAAAUCAAAAAUUCCAGUUCAACAAUACAGGGAAGAAAUAUUAGAAAGAGGAAAUUGUGAUAACAAAAAAGGAGAAGAAAGUUUUGCAUCAGGAAUAGAGAAGGAAUUAUUAAAUCAUAAAAUAUUCAGAAAUAGAAUUUGA